AUUAUCCUAAGUCCCCCAACAUGUGGUUCUGGGGAGCAUUUUAAGGAAUUAUUAGCAGGGCCCAGGGAAAGGCCCUCACAUAAUACAUUCAAAACUAAAUUUUCAGAGUUUUUGUUUCCAGAUUAGAGCACCAAAAACAUGGGAAGGUAGCAAUCUGGGAACUUAAAACUUGGGGCAUGAAUGUUAAAAUGAGACCUGUCGGGUAUAUUUGAAACUGGUAAUGUUUAGUUUCGUGGACUUUUUGAAGGCCUGUUACACCAUUCACAGAUAACUGGUCCCUUAUGUGAAUUUGGAAGAUGUUAGUUGAAUGAAUAAAUGAAAUGCAUAAGGCACCAAGCUAGGAGAGUUUAUUAAAAAUAAAAAACCGCAAAACAAAUUGUUCUUAUCCUCCAGAAGCUGUUUUCCUAUACAGCCAUAUGUGUACACAUACGUGAUGGAAGAAGAAUGUGUUAUGAGCCAUGAGAGAUGUACAAAGUGCUGGGAAUCGAGGAGCGUGCAUAUGGAUGUGCAAGAUAAGUGUCUAUCAAAAUUUGAAGAACUGAAAAACAGGAUUCAAGUCAUAGGUUGGUGCAAAAGUAGUUGCGGCUUUUGCCAUUGCAAGUAAUGGCAAAAACCGCAAUUACUUUUGCACCAACCUAAGACACUUUUGUAAAAGGAGUAUACAUUUAUAAAAUUGGUAGAAAAAGCAGUUUAGCAAUGAGUAUCAACAAAAAUUUGUAAACUUUUCUCAAGUCACCUAACUAAAAAUGGGGAUAAUGGGAAUAAUCCAAAAUAUUAAAUAUCUACUAGGUUUGACUAUACAAACUUGUCAUUUUUAUGGGUCAAAAUGCUUAAUAUUGGUAAUUUCACAUAUGCACAAAAGAUAGUCAUUGUAUCAUAAUUUGUGAUUGUGAAAAAAUGGGAAAAUAGUGCACAACAUUAGAGGAACGAUUAAACUGUGGCACAAACUUUAAUGUUAGUCCUUUGUAAUUUUUAAAAAUUGAGGUAUAAUUUGCAUACAGUAAAUUCCACAGACUUAGGUGACAUUUAGCAGUUGAUAAAUGUCAUUUAGCAACUUGAUGACAUUUAGCAGUUGUAUAUACCACCCAGUCAAGAUCUAGAACAUUUUCAUUGCUCCAGAAAGUUAUUUCGUGCCAGUUUUCCAGACAAUCCACCACCACCCCAAGGCAACUAUUUUCUCUUUUUUUUUUUGAGACGGAGUCUUGCUCUGUCACCCAGGCUGGAGUGCAGUGGUGCAGUCUCAGCUCACUGUGUCCUCUGCCUCCCGGGUUCAAGCAAUUCUCCUGCCUCAGCCUCCCGAGUAGCUGGGAUUACAGGUGUCUGCCACCACGCCUGGCUAAUUUUUGUAUUUUUAGUAGAGACGGGGUUUCACCAUAUUGGCCAAGCUGGUCUCGAACUCCUCACCUUGUGAUCUGCCCACCUCGGCCUCCCAACGUGCUAGGAUUACAGGCGUGAGCCACCGUGCCCGGACAACUAUUUUCAAAUUUCAAUGACCAUAGAUUAGUUUUGUCUUUUUUUGAACUUCUUGUAAAUGGAGACCUACAAUAUGCAUUGCCUUGUGUCUUUCUUCUGCUUUGCGUCUGACUUCAAUAUCAAUGAGAUUCAUCCAUGCUGUUGUAUCGGUAAUUAGUUGCUUUUAAUUGUUGAAUAGUAUUCCAUUGUAUGACCAUACCACAAGCGGUCAUCCAUUCUAUUAAUGGCCAUUUGCUUUGCUUAUAGUUUUUGGCUAUUAUGCAUAGGGCGUUAUGAACAUUCUUGUAUAAGACCUUGUGUGGACAUAAUUUUUAUCCCUGUUGGGGAAAGUAUCUGGGUCAAAUUGCUGAAUCAUAUGGUAGCUUAACUUUAGACACUGCUGAAUUGUUUUUCCAAAGCGACUGCACCCUUUCACACUCUUAGCAAUAGAUGAGCGUUUCGGUUGUUCCACAUCCUUGCCAAAUUUUGAUAUUUUCAGUCCUCAUAAAAUGGUACCUUAUUGUGAUUUUUAACAUAACAUUUCCCUGAUGCCUAAUGAUGUUGACUAACUUUUCGUGUAUUACUAUUACCAGCCAUAUUGAAUACAAUAACAUAUGUAAAGCACUUAGCACAGUGCCUGGCCUAUGAUAGGAGUAUAAUGAAUGUCAGUUCUAACUACAGGUUGGAUAGCAUCCACUUUUCCUUGGAUGUGACACCUGUUGUUUUAUUUUCCAAAGCAUUCCCUUUCUUUUGGUCUCAGCACCCUAGUUUUCCAUGGGCAGUGGCUCUUCUCCACUCUCAGUCCAUGCGGUUUGGAGAGACUGAUAGCUCCGCAGACCACAGGCAUGGGCAUGUCACCCAAUCAAAGUUAAUGAGCAGCCGGGCACAGUGGCUCACGCCUGUAAUCCCAGCACUUUGGGAGGCCAAGGCGGGCGGAUCACUUGAGGUCGGGAGUUCGAGACCAGUCUAGAGAAACCCCGUCUCUACUAAAAAUACAAAAUUAGCUGGGUGUGGUGGCACCUGCCUGUAAUCCCUGCUACUUGGGAGGCUGAGACAGGAGGACUGCUUGAACCCAGGAGGUGGAGGUUGCGGUGAGCUGAGAUUGCACCAUUGCACUCCAGCCUGGGCAACAAGAGUGAAAUUCCAUCUAAAAAAAAAAAAGCUUCAAUUCUAGGAUUCUUUUUUUGUUUGUUUAUUUGAGAUGGAGUCUCACUCUGUUGCCCAGGCUGGAGUGUGGUGGCUCAAUCUUGGCUCAUUGCAACCUCCACCUCCUGGGUUCAAGUGAUUCUCCUGUCUCAGCCUCCCACGUAACUGGGAUUACAAGCAAGCACCACCAUGCCCAGCUAAUUUUUGUAUUUUUUAGUAGAGAUGGGGUUUCACCAUGUUGGCCAGGCUAGUCUCAAACUCCUGACCUCAAGUGACCUGCCUGCCUCAGCCUCCCAAAUUGCUGGGAUUACAGGUGUGAGCCACCACGCCUGGCCCAAUUCUAGGGUUCUUAAUAGGAACUAUUGGGAAGAGGUCGUCUUAUUUUAUUGUGAUGUCUAGGUAUAGGAUGAUUUGAACCAUGAGCUCCUGGGGCUACCAUGUGGCCUAAGACUAAAGCCCUUAUGAAGAAAAGAAGACUGAGAAAUGAAGAGACAGGUCCUUUUGAGUGUCUGAUUCUAGCUUAGGCUGAAAUUGGCAUUUUAUUUAUGUAAUCCAAUAAGUUGCUUUUACUUAAACCAGCUGGGAUAGGGCUUCUGAUUCCUAUCCCGGAUACAUUAGUGUACAUUAGGAUAAUCUAGACAUGUUAGACUUCUGUCUAUGUAUAGAGAGACUAGAUACAGGAAUCUAAUGGCCAAUGAAGAAGAAGAAGUAUCAACUAAUUAAUGGAUCAGGCAGGAGCCAGACAACCCCCAUGUGAACCAUGACAAAGUUGGACUUUAUGACAAAGUUGGAUUGGUGAAUAUACUUGGAUCUGGGGCCAAAGUGGGGCCGUCUUACUCUCUCUCCGUAUCUAGACUUAGGGACCUCCCAUGAGUAAAGCUGGAUUCACAGAGCAGACUCUGACUUAGCCACCAUCUGUGAGAAGUUUAGGUGGCCUUAUAUAUUCUAGGUGUCAUCAGGAGAAAAGAGAUGAAAGAUGGCCAGAGCUAUCCCUGAAAGAUCUCCUGGGCCUGUUUUAGCAGGUAGUAACAGAAAGGUCAAGGGCUCAUUGUCUCUGGUGCAAGCAGGUCAAAGAGAGAACAAAGGAGUUGGAACAUUCCUGGAUGUGACUUUUAGCAUACUGAUACUCUUACUAGUAAACACUGAUGGGGGAAUGUCAACUUCUACUAAUCAAACUACUAUUCUCCGUAAUUGAAGAGUGUUAAAGGGUGAAGAAAGGAUUCUCCUUCUGGGUAAAAUGGAAUAAGCACACUCCACCCUGUCUUUCCACCUGAAUGCAGCCAUAAAAGCUGGACAGAAUGCACACAGCCACUAUUUGAGGACUCUGAAAAGUAAAUAAUAGCAGGCACAUCAGUGAAGAAGACAAAAAUCAAAGUACCACUGAACUGAUGUUUAGUUUACUAUUUUUUCCAAUGUAUGAGCUCGCCUAGCUUGAACUGUGAACCAGAGUUCUAUUACUAGCAAAAAUAUCCUUCAGUAAUGAAGUGAUGAAAUAAAGACAUCCUCAGAUGAAGGAAAACUAAGAGGAGUUGUUUUUAGUAAGCUUGCACUAAAAGAAUUGCUAAAGGAAAUUCACCAUAUAGUAGGGAAAUGAUACCAAAAGGAAACUUGGAGCAUUAGGAAUAAAGGAAGAGCAACAGAAAUGGCAAAUACCAAGAUAAGUAUAAUAUUCUUCUCCUCUUUAGUUCUUUAAAAUAUGUUAAAUGAUAGAAAGCAAAAAUUCAAACAAUGGUGAAGUUUUUAAUGUUUAUAGAUGUGGUAUAUAAUAACUACAAAAUAAAAGGGCAAGGAUAAAGAGACCUAUAUGGUAGUGAAGUUUUCAUAUUGCACUUACAGUGGUAAAAUACUGAUUCUAAGUAGAGUUAGAAAAAGUUAAACAUGUCUACUGUAAUCCCUAGAGCAACCCAUAAAGAUACUGUACAAAGAGAUAUAGGUUGGGCACAGAGGCUCAUGCCUGUAAUCCCAAUACUUUGGGAGGCUGAGGUGGGAGGAUGGCUUGAGGUCAGGAAUUCAAGACUAGCCUAGGAAACAUAGUGAGACCCCACCUCUACAGAAAAAAAAAAAAAAAAGAAAGCCAGACAUGGUGGUGAAUGCUUAUAGUCCUAGCUACUCAGGGGGCUGAGGUGGGAGAAUCACUUGAGCCCAAGAGUUUGAGGCUGCAGUGAGCUAUGAUCAAGUCAAAACACAUAAUACAUAAAAUGUAGUAUUAAAAAAUGUUCAAGUAACCCAAAAGGAGAUAGGAAAGGAGAAAUAGAAGAACAAAAAACAGAGAUAAAAACUAAAAGCAAACAAUAAAAUAUUAGGCAUCAAUCUAAACAUAUCAAUAAUUACAUUAAGUAUAAAUGGUCUAAAUCAGUGGUUGAGGAAUGUUUUUAAAAAGCCAUAUAGUAAAUAUUCGGCUUUGUGAACCACAAGCAAUCUCUUUUACAUAUUGUUCUGUUUCAAAAACAGGUGGUGGGUUGGAUUUGGCCCAUGGGCCAUAGUUGGCCAACCUUUGGUCUCAACAUGCCAAUUAAAACAGAGAGAAUGUCAGAAUGGAUUAAAAAAAGAAGAAAGCACAGCCUAGUUAUAUACUGCCUACAAGACACUCACAUCAGUUAUAAUAAUAUACGUAGGUCAAAAGUCAAGGAUGAGGAAACGAGGAUGCUCCUCAGGAGGUGAAAGUCUUGAUAAAAGUUUUUUCUAAUGUGUACUAAGAUGGGAAAUUGAGAGAAGUAGAAGGGAUUCUCCCUGAUCCUUUCUCUUCCCUUAUAUGAAAGUCAGACGCCUGAUAACAUCUGCAUUUAAGAACAUAGCCCUGAAGCUGGAAGUAAAGAAUGCCUCUGAGUUUUAUCAGUAACCUUCACCAAACCUGAGCUCUUUAUGCCACAAUAAAGGCCAUUAGGCACUCAUUCUGAGCCUACUUACUCUUAUUUUACACAUAGUUAACUAUGUUAGCCACUCCGCCAGUGUCAUGAGAUGAGAAAAAAGAUAGAAGGGAGGAAAAAUCAGAAACUAAUGUGUAAAGUAGAGUAAGAAAGGUGUGUGACAAUACAAUUGCCACUGGACCAUAUAAUGGUAACCAAGAGGACCUAAGGAAGGUCAAGAUAUAACUAACUUCUCCUGUUUAAGCAUUUCAUUUGGUACAAAUCUUACUUAAAGGAGAACUUUCUUUUCAAUCUGUGGGUUCCAUUUUUCUUUUAGAGAAUGUUUUCUUUAUAUAUAUACUUACAUAUAAUAUAUAAUAUUAUAUUAUAUAUAAAAAUAUAUUUUAAUAGAGUUGGGGGUCUUUCUAUGUUGCCCUGACUUGUCUUGAACUCCUGAGCUCAAAGAAUGUACCCACCCUGGCCUCCCAAAGUGCUGGGAUUACAGGUGUGAGUCACUGUGCCUGGCUUUGUUUUCACAUAUUUUUGAUAAUUUUUCUGUUGCUUCGUUGAAUUUUUACUUCAAGGGACAAUUAUCUAUAUAUCGGGUCACUUUUUAAAAAUGAUGUCUUUCAUUUUCUUUAAUCUAGAGCAAUCUUUAAGUUAUUUUCUGGGAAGGGUGGGGAGGGAGGUUUUAUGACAAUGACAUUUUUGAGAAGUCCAGACAAGUUGUCUUGUGAAAUGUCCCACAAUUCAAAUUUGUCCAAUUAUUUGCUUAUGAUUAGAUUCAGAUUACCCAUUUUUUGCAAGAAUAGCUAGUGUGUAGUGUUCAGUUCAUCACAUCGGGAUGCAUACUGCCUCAGGCUUUCCCAUCAUUCAUUGCACUAAAUUUGAGCACUUGGCUAAGGUAAGUGUUCAGCAGAUUUCUCCAUUGGACCUGGGUCACUUUUAUUUUCCAUAUCUAUUCAUUUUUCUUAAACGACUUUUUGGGUUUUAUUUCCUUAUGCUCACUUUAUUUGUCUCAAGACUUUCCUUCUUGGGAAUAAUUUAAUUUUUUGCUAUAUCAGUUUUGUUCCUUACUGAUAAGCAGUGCUGCUCCUGAUAUUUGUAGGAAUAAGAGCAAGAAAAUAAAUGCAGGCCCAUCCUCCAUAUAUCUAAAUAUUUAGAAGUUAUAAACCAAACUAAGAAAUUAUUAAAUUAAAAAAUAUGCUCUAUCCUUCUUCUUUGACAAAUAUAGUUUCAUACUAACAAAAUAGACAAUAUGUGUAAAAGCCAUGGUUUUUACAUGACUGAAAUUUGACAAAAUAUUAAAGGUGAUGCAUGUAAUUAUAAUUGGGCAUAUUUGAGUGUUCUGUUCAUGGGCCAGCAAUGGUUAGAUGUGUACUAAAGUAAAAACUUAUAGUUCAUAUGCUUUCUGUCUAUUCAUAACAUUAAUUUUUCUUUCAUUUUAGCAAAAUCACUCAUUAUGUUGGUAUAAUGAAGAUUUUCAUAUAAUUUGUUUUUUAAGAACUUUUUUACAUUUUCUUUUUUUUUUUUUUUUUUUUUUUGAGACUGAGUUUCGCUCUGUUACCCAGGCUGGAAUGCAGUGGCACAAUCUUGGCUCACUGCAAGCUCCGCCUCCCGGGUUCACACCAUUCUCCUGCCUCAGUCUCCCAAGUAGCAGGGACUAUAGGCGCCUGCCACCACGCCUGGCUAAUGUUUUGUAUUUUUAGUAGAGAUGGGGUUUCACUGUGUUGGCCAGGAUGGUCUCGAUCUCCUGACCUCGUAAUCUGCCCGCAUAGGCCUCCCAAAGUGCUGGGAUUACAGGUGUGAGCCACCGCGUCCAGCCGUUUUUCACAUUUUCACGUAAUUUUUAAAAAAAUAUAUAGAAGAGGCUGGGCGCAGUGGCUCAUGCCUGUAAUCCCAGCACUUUGGGAGGCCAAGACAGGAGGAUCAUGAGGUCAGGAGGUCAAGACCAUCCUGGCCAACAUGGUGAAACCCCAUCUCUACUACAAAUACAAAAAAUUAGCUGGGUGUGGUGGCAUGUGCCUGUAAUCCAGCUACUCAGGAGGCUGAGGUAGGAGAAUCACUCAAACUAGAGGUUGCAGUGAGCCGUGCGCCACUGCACUCUUAAGCCUGGUGACAGAGCGAGACACCGUCUCAAAAAAAAAAAUUAUAUAUAUAUAUAUGAUUAAAAAUUUAAAAAGAACAAAAUUUGAAUAAUUUUCAUCAAAAACGAAAAGGAAGUAAAAACUUAAAUUUUUAAAUUGUUUUAAUGAUUUUUAUAUUUUUCUUCUAAAAUUGAAAUUUAAAAACUUUUUUUUUUUAAGAGACAGUGUCUUCCUCUGUCAACCAGGCUGGAAUGCAGUGGCACAAUCAUAGCUUACUGCAGCCUUGAGCUCCUGGGUUCAAGCAGUUCUCCCAUGUCAGCCUUCCAAGUAGCUGGGACUAUACAGGCACAUACCACCAUACCAGGCUAAUUUUUUGAAUUUUUUUGUAGAGAAGGGUCUCUUGAUCUCUCAGCCUCAAACAAUCCUCCCACCUAAGCCUCCCAAAGCACUGGGAUGACAGGUGUGAGCCGCUGCACCCUGCCUGAAAUUUCUCUAUCAAAAGACAAAACAGGCUGGGUGCAGUGGCUCAUGCCUGUAAUCCCAGCACUUUGGGAGGGCAAGGCAGGCAGAUCACCUGAUGGGUCAGGAGUUUGAGACCAGCCUGCCCAAGAUGGUGAAACCCUGUCUCCACUAAAAGUACAAAAAUUAGCCAGAUAUGGUGGUGGGCUCCUGUAAUCUCAGCUACUUGGGAGGCAGAGGCAGGAGAAUGGCUUGAACCCGGGAGGUGGAGGUUGCAGUGAGCUGAGAUUGUGCCACUGCACUCCAGCCUGGGCAACAGAGUCACUCUGUCGCAAAUAAAAAUAAAAAUAAAAAUAAAUAAUAAUUACAUUGAACAAAAAUCAAAAUUACAUAGAGUUGAUAUUUUAUUUAGUAUUUUAAAAGUUUAAUACAGUAAUAGUAAAAGAUUUUUACAUUGUAAAACUAUUUGUAGUGUUAAUGUUCAAAGUCCACAUAGUUACCAAUGUAAAUAAUUGGAACUACACUUCACAUAAGUUAUUUCUUGUCUGUAUGUACAUACACCUUUAAGAAUAAUAUGUAAUAUGAGUUGUUUAAUGUUGCAAAAUGCUCCUCAGAUGCCAUGUGUAACAGUUGUGAAUAUGCUUUAAUAUUUUAGUACCUUCAAAACCAAUGAAUUAGAUACAAAAAGACAUGAGAGAAUGAAUGCUUGGCCUUCUGGGAAAUGAUACUUUCUUCAGUAAGAAUCUAUGGGAUUCAUGCUGAGACUAUGUAUCUGACAAGCAAGUGAAUUGGUCUAUUAUCCUCCUUAAAUUCUUCAGCUCAAAUCUUUCUCAUUCUCCUGAGCAGUGUCCAUCUCUGAUAUUGGCAAAGGCGCAAAAACCUUCAUGGCGUUUGGCAUUCUUCGGUACCUCAGAAGAAACCUUUCCUUGGGGCCUGAGGGGUGUGAAUUAUGAGAGUAGGUUUAGGGUUGUGGGUUUUGCUGUGCCAGCACAGAACAUCAGAGAUGCCCACGUGUUCUUUAAUAAAUUUAUCUUCCUGGUCUUUGUGAUAUCCUCGGUCCUUUAAAGAGCAGGGCCCAGACCCUGGGUCUCUUUUAUCUGUGUGUAAUGUCAUAUAUAAGAAGCAGAAUCUAUGAGUUAUGAUGAGUAUUCUUUUAGUCUUUAAUCUGUUUACUUAGAAUUGUAAGUUUCUCUUUUCCUGUUGUUGUUUUGUAUUUCAUCUUGUCUUUAAGUUCUUAUUUAUAGAAUUCAUAUUUUUUUAGUUGCUUUAUAGAGAAGCCGUUAUAGAGAAUUUCCUUCUCUCCUUUGAGUUAUAUUUUCUUCAACACUGGGUUCCAUAUCUUUUUUUUCUUAGUCUGGUUGUUUCUUUGUCCUCCUUUUAAAAAAGUAAUAGAUUUUCAUAAUGCAGACAGUAUUUGUUUUCAUCUUCUUAAUGUUUAAUGUAGGGGAGUCUAUCCAGACUUUCAAUUUACUUGGGUGUAAUUUCUCCUCAAAUCCUUUCUCAUUUUUGUGCAAGACCCAUUUGUUUUGCCCUCUGGACUGUGGCUGGAGGGCAUAGUUCUAGUGCUCUGUAGCUUUUCUGUAUCUAUGCAUUGGUGGGGAAAAGGUAGCUGUAAUUUCCAGUAUCCUUUCUUUUUUCUUUUUUUUUUUUGAGAUGGAGUCUUGCCCUGUUGCCCAGGCUAGAAUGCAAUGGCGCAAUCUCGGCUCACUGCAACCUCCGCCUCCUGGGUUCAAGCGAUUCUCCUGCAUCAGCCUCCCAAGUAGCUGGGAUUACAGGGGUGCACCACCACGCAUGGCUAAUUUUUCAUAUCUUUAGUAGAGACGGGGUUUCACGAUAUUGGCCAGGCUGGUCUCAAACUCCUGACCUUGUGAUCUGCCUGCCUUGGCCUCCCAAAGUGCUGGGAUUACAGGCGUGAGCCACUGCGCCUGGCCUCCAGUAUCCUUUCUUAGAGAAACUGGGCUCUAAUACCUUUUUGAGGUUUUAAUAAGUAUCUUGUGUCAGACUUUCCUUUUCUAUGAUGGGUUGGAUGUGAAGGGGGAGUAUAUGGAGGGGUAAUUAUAUUCCCAUUGGAAGCACAGAUUUCCCUGGAGUGUGUAUUUCUAUUUCAGAGAUUCAAAGCUGGCUGCUUAAUCUCCCAUCUCUUCUGUCUUCUUCCUACCAACAGGUCAAAAAUGACAUUUUGAAGAUUAGUCUUGCAUCAACAACCAGAAUGUUUUGAAAUGGAAGAAAUUGGACACAGGGAGACCAAAGAAGCUACUGUUACGUCGGUCCCUCCGUUUGGGGUCCCUGACUUCCUGCAACUUUCCCCACCCUAGGAACGUAAGGACUAGAGCUGCAACAUAUGGGAACAUACGCUGGAGUGCAGUGGCGUGACCUCGGCUCAUCACAACCUCCGCCUCCCAGGUUCAAGCAGUUCUGCUUCAGCCUCCCGAGUAGCUGGGAUUACAGAGCUUGUAGCGGGCUUGAAGAAGUACCACAUGCAGGCCCACCCGACAGCCAAGGAAGGGUCCUAUUAGUUAAGAAAAGGUGCCCACUGAUGCCAGCCACUUGGAGACACUUGGGGACAUGGAUAAAGCUGGAAGCCAUCAUUCUCAGCAAACUAACACAGGUUUCUCCAAUCAAUGGUAUGGGAUGACAGUGAAUGUUUGCUCUGCAUGCAUGAAUGUGAAACCUACUAGAUGGAAGGAGCGAGGCUUCUUGCAUCACCAUGCGGAAAGCUGCCUACUGAACAGUGCAUGAUUGGUCCAUGACAUGAGUGAGAAACACACCCCUUAUAUAUGAGACCACCGAGAUUUGGAGGUUAUUUGUAUACAUAUUAGCCUACCUUGACUAAUACACCACUGUACAACUCCAGGGGGAGCCAUGCACAUAACUAGGAUGUGAAUGGUGGCCCUUCAGAGCUACACAGUACAUAGCCUGCAUGGCUGCACAGUAGCCCUACUUGCCUUUCCAAGAGAGAAGCCAGAAACACACUUUCCCAGUAUCCCUUGCAAUUGGAUAUGUGACCUAACCUCUGCCCUGCAAAUAUAGACAUGUGCCAGAGUGAGGCUUUGGGAAACAAUGAGAAGGCAAGCACCAUUUUCCUGGUAAUGAUGAUGGUGGAGGCAUCGAGUUUCAGGGGAGGCAGUAAGAGCAGUUUUGGCAUCUAAUGCACAGCACCAGGUAUGAUCAGCAGGGCCUUUGCUGGUGUAGUGCUGUCAUAUGGUAGUACAUUGGGCAUUUUUCCUGGUUCUGUACUCUCCAAGCCUGAUUGAUUCUCCUGCAAAUUCUGUGACUUACUUAAGUGUCUUUAUUAAAUUAAAUUUCUGCUUAACUAGCUAAAUUGCUGUACUAUUUAGGAUGUAGGUUCAACAUCUAAAACCACAAACUCUACAGAUAAGAUUGAGAUCUUUUCUCUCUCAUGUAAACAUACAAGGUUGAUAUGGUGGCUCCACAGUGUUGGCAAACCCACUGACUCACCAAUCUUAGACAGUUGUCAUUAUCUGUCAACAUGGGUCACCAACAUUCUGGCAUUCUACUCAGUCAGAAAAAGAAAGGGAAGAUAUGCCUCUUCCCUUUAAGAACAUGACCUGGAUGUUGAACACAUCGCUUCCCUUUACAUCCUCCAUUGGCUAGAACAUAGUUAUAUGGCCAAACCUAGUGCAAGAGCAUCUGGGAAAUGAAGUGUGAAAGUUGUCAGAAUCAAAAUGGAGUCACUAAUGUUAAGAAAACUUUGACAAAUAGAGCCAGAGAAGGUCAUGAAGAGAAGAUUCAUAAAUUAGCCGGGCGUGGUGGCACAUGCCUGUAAUCCCAGCUACUUGGGAGGCUGAGGCAUGAGAAUCACUUGAACCUGGGAGGCGGAGAUUGCAGUAAGCCAAGAUCACACCACUGCACUCCAGCCAGGGUGAGAGAGCAAGACCUGUCUCAAAAAGAAAAAAAAAAAAAGAAGAAAAAAGAUCCUCACGCUUGUUCACCUGAUAAGGAAAAAGACUACAAAAACCACAACCUUGGACAAAGGACUUUGCAACCUCAUACAAAAAAUACUUCUCCAAGGACAUCUGCCCAGCAACUACCUGUCCAACCUCAGACUGGCAUUACCCUUGCAAUUGAUCAUUGUAGCCAAAGAUAAUAUUUCAAAACAAUUACAUAAUCUUCCUUAUUA